rnacentral:lncRNA from 1 species
GGCUUCAAGGUCACCAAGGUCCAUAUAUUGACAAGUAAUCCAAGCUCUCAAAGUCAAGUAAGGAAUAAAAGGUUACUUUCAUGCACAAAAUGGAGAUUCAGUGCACUCAACGAACAAUUCUAUCUGACAAAUCAUGCAUCAGGACUUCUUGUCAUCAACAACAAUAGACUGCUAACAAGAAUCACAAACAUUUAACAUAAUAAAUGAUGGUCAUGAGGUAAUGAAACUGACAGCGGCAGUGCUAAAAGAAAAGAAAUUAAGAAACCCAUCGGACCAGUGAGCUCCAUUCCCCUCAUAAUGACAGCCAUUGACAGUAUGAAGUCACAGCACGAGUUGCCAAAUUCAUCAAGAAGAAACAAGAUAGCCCUUCGAAAGAGCUCCUGGAGGGAGGAAGAGAGGAGCAUGACUCGGCCAUGACGACCAGCCAUGGCGUCCGAUGACUUGCUGGGAGCAAAGUGUGGCUAAACAAAGGCAGGAAAGAAGCUAGUGUGACACCUCCAAGGCAUGAGUUUGUCUAGUUGGGAAACAGAUAUAAGAGCCCAAGAAAGAGAAGUAGAAGAGAUAGGCAUCAAGCUUUCUUUUUCAAUGCAGUUGAAGCAUUGCUUAUUUGCUUUGCAAGCAUUCUGGUGCAGGGUCUUUCCCUUUGUCCAAAAGGAAGAGAGGACGGUGGUGGGC